UACGUAGGGCGCAAGCGUUAUCCGGAAUUAUUGGGCGUAAAGCGCACGUAGGCGGCUUUGCAAGUCGGAUGUGAAAUCCCUCGGCUCAACCAAGGAAGUGCAUCCGAAACUGCAGAGCUUGAGUACUUAAGAGGAUCGCGGAAUUCCCGGUGUAGAGGUGAAAUUCGUAGAUAUCGGGAGGAACACCAGUGGCGAAGGCGGCGAUCUGGGAAGAUACUGACGCUGAGGUGCGAAAGCGUGGGGAGCAAACAGG
rnacentral:rRNA from 1 species